GUGCUUGCUUCGGCAGCACAUAUACUAAAAUUGGAACAGCACACUUAAAGUAGAUUAGCAUGGCCCCUGUGCAAGGAUGACAUGUAAACUCACGAAGCGUUCCGUAUUUCU